GCGAGUUGUCGGUUGUAAUGCGUUUGUUUGUGACUUUUGAGGUCGUGGAGAAAGUAGUGGCGCGAAGUUUCGCAUUUCUCUUGGUCUUCCAGCGUCAACUGCGCGGACAACAAGGGAGCGAAGAAUCUAUACAUUAUUGCUGUUCAUGGCACUAAGGGAAGGCUGAUCAGGCUGCCAGCGGCUGGAUGUGGUGAUAUGGUGGUCGCUAUGGUGAAGAAAGGAUAGCCGGAGUUGAGGAAGAAAGUAUCUCCAAGUGUAAAGGAAAGUAUUCCUUUGUCUCAAGUUGUUUAACCAGCAAGUGGCGAUUUUGUGAGUCAAAGGAAGCUUGAACAGAUAGCAGCAGAUAUAGGAAAGUUGUGGCCUAAACUAACAAGUAUUAUUGGUACUGACCAGUCUACAGUGUUGGAGCUGUAUGAAAAGAAUUCUGACCCCAGGUUUCUCAGGCAGCAGCAUCUCGUGUAGUAAGUGAGUGGCAAAUAUUAAGAAAUACCCGAUUGCAAGUAUGUGAAUUGUAUGAUGCUCUACUCGUUGCUCACAUUCCAUUUGUACUACAACAGCAUUUGAGUGAUGUCAUGUCACCCAAUGCAGCAUCUGGAUUAGAAUAAUCUAAAGAGACAGCUGCACGUGGUGAGACAAGUCGAGCUGACUCUGAGAUGGUCACGCCUCUCAUCAUAGAGAAAGUAGUCAAAAAUUGUUCAGAGCGUUGGCAUGAAAUUGGUAUAUACCUUGGAGUUUCACAAGCAAUGCUGACUGAAUGUAAACGACUACAGUACACGCUGAAAGAAAACGUCAAUUUAGUUUUGUCAACUUGAACAAAUGAAAACAGACAUACUACAGUUGCUCAUUUGUUGUGUGCUCGUGAUGAAGCUAAAGUGGGAGGAGCAGUGAGUAGAGGAUUGGACAGUGAUACACAACACUAAACUUAUUUUAUUUUAUCUAUUAUAUAACCAGUUUUUGUUUAAUUAACAUGAUAUCAUAUAAUAAAUCUGAAGUUGUGAAUAAAUUUGUAUUUGAAUGA